AGGAUGAACGCUGGCGGCGUGCUUAACACAUGCAAGUCGAACGGUGAAGUGAGGAGCUUGCUCCUUGCGGAUCAGUGGCGAACGGGUGAGUAACACGUGAGUAACCUGCCCUUGACUCUGGGAUAAGCGUUGGAAACGACGUCUAAUACCGGAUACGACCUAGGCCGACAUCGGCCAUGGUGGAAAGUUUUUCGGCUAGGGAUGGACUCGCGGCCUAUCAGCUAGUUGGUGGGUAAAGGCCUACCAAGGCGACGACGGGUA
rnacentral:rRNA from 1 species